rnacentral:tRNA from 2 species
GCCCCAAUAGCUCAGUCGGUAGAGCGUUUCCAUGGUAAGGAAAAGGUCUACGGUUCGAUUCCGUAUUGGGGCUCCA